AUUGCCAAGGUUGGGAAAAAGCACCAAUGCUUUCAAUCUCCAAUGAAUAUAUCAUUCAAGAUUAUUUUUUCUCACUCUUGUUCAUUUGUCUGGACUAUUUGUGGAGCUGUGGACUCUUCAUUAACUGGGCAAACAAGAACCCCCGGACCCUCUCCCUCCCUGCAGGUGGAUCCGUCCUACCAGAAGAAGAAGCCUCGGUCCCCUUGCCUCCCUUUUGCCCCUCAGACCAUCCACACAGCAGGAUUAAGAGACUGAGAUCAUCACUGGAGGUCCACAGGUUUUAAAUGCAGGAUUCUCCUGCCACCUGCUGGUAAGCACUUCCAAGCUCUUCUUAAGAUUCUUUCACAAGAUUCAUUCAAAGACUGUGGACUCUUAUCGAAGCUUAUGUACCGGAUUUUAUUGUUAAAACAGAUAAAAGUAGGAAUAUACAAAAUGUUCACAGCCCUAAAUAUUUCAUUUACCUGUAUUGUAUUGUAUAUUAUUUAUAGGCAGUCUGUUAGUCAGCUAAAAGACUACUAAUUUAGAGUGAGUGGGCGGGGCUCAAACUCUGUAGUCUGAAUAAACAUAUGAAACAUCCUGUGAUUUUGGAUCA
rnacentral:lncRNA from 1 species